UACGUAGGAUGCGAGCGUUAAUCGGAAUUACUGGGCGUAAAGCGUGCGCAGGCGGUCUGUUAAGACCGAUGUGAAAUCCCCGGGCUUAACCUGGGAACUGCAUUGGUGACUGGCAGGCUUUGAGUGUGGCAGAGAGAGGUAGAAUUCCACGUGUAGCAGUGAAAUGCGUAGAGAUGUGGAGGAAUACCGAUGGCGAAGGCAGCCUCCUGGGCCAACACUGACGCUCAUGCACGAAAGCGUGGGGAGCAAACAGG
rnacentral:rRNA from 1 species